rnacentral:tRNA from 2 species
CCCUGGUUAGCUCAGUUGGUAGAGCGCUCCACCUGUAAUGGAGAGGUCCCGGGUUCGAUACCCGGAUCAGGCG